ACAACAAAAUGCUCUUGUGGAUAACGCGGGUGGGUAGAAGAUUGUGAGGGCUUGAUGUGGUAGGCGAUAGCACUUGGAGGGCAGAUUUCUUGUAGAUUUUUCUCAAAGCAAAAAAGAGGACUAAUUGGACCAAUUUAUACAUGACUAGGCUACCUUGAUUCUAGAAACGAGGUGGAAAGUGGAAUUGAUGUGACAGCAGAAGAGACAGUGGAAAAGAUACCAAAAAACGGAUUAUUUUUUACUGUUAUAAAAGUAUUUCUCCAAGAUGUUGUCUAAAGGGUUGAGGUUGAUGCUGAUGAUGAUUCUGCCAUUUAAUACAGCACAAAACAGUAACCUUCCUCCACACAUCCUCGACAUCAACGACGACAUCUCACUCCCCCUGACCCAGAUACCAUCUGGCCUACCUGGCCCACCUACCCAGUCUUACCUCAGUCUCCUACUCCUGUGUCUAACCGUGGGACUCUCUGGGAUCGUCUACCUGUGUGUGCUGCGUUACAUCUGUGUAGGCUGCUGCCAGCCCAUAGUGGUUGGCCCUGAGUUGGAAGCUUUCUCAGGGGUAGUGUAAAUUUAAUUUGACAUUUGGUGCCCCUGCUACUUUGGUGCCCCUGCAUAUUGCCCCUGCAUAUUGAGGCUCUCUCCAGUUUUAAAUGACAUGGACAUUGUGACAAGAGUACCGCAGUUUCACAAGGCCUCCCACAAGGUCUGAGCAAGUCCACCUCCCCAGCUAAUUUCCUGCAAUUCUACACAUAUUGCCAUGGGUUAGAGAGUAAAUGUGCAGUUUCAUAGCUAAUAUCAUGCUAUUCUAAACAUUUUGUAUUUUUUAAAGCACAUUUUCUGCUAUUCUAUACAUUUUGACUUUGCAGUAUUACAGCUAAUUUCCUGUUAUUCUAUAGAUUUUUGUCAUGACUUAUGACCUGUUCAUAUGCUAUCUGGGUUAGGGGGUGCCGACUAACUAACGAAAUUACAGUUCACGAAAAUGUACGCUUAAUCCAGUAGAAACAAAUGUAUCGAAUCUUUAUACAAAAUUCACAAAUUCUACAGCACAACGGAAGAGUCAUGUCUUAAGUGUAAAACUCCUCUAAUAAUGACUCAAUAAUCCAUCAUUUCUGGAAAUGCUAUAAAGUCUGGUAUGACAAUGUUCAUGUACUUUUAAUCUGUCUGUCUGCAUAUUUCAAGACAUGGCAUAUGGGGGUGUAGUGAGAUACCCAAUGGGCUGGACUAUUCUCAUCACUCAUCUUGAAAAAAACGUAUACUAAAACCAUGGAAUCCAAUGAAUCUGCCAUAAUUAACACAAUGGAAAAACCGUGUGAUUUACUAUUGAAAUACAAUGGGCGACAGAGGAAAAACAAAUUGAUACAGCUUGGGUCUGGGAAGAUGAGAUGUAGUCAUUGUUUGUGUGUGUCUAUAAGUUGUUGUUUGUAUAUAUAUAUAUGUUUGUAUAUGGAGUGAAAAUAAAGAACAGAACAAAAAUCAAAUAUAUUUUAAAAAAUGUAAUAAAAAC